rnacentral:rRNA from 1 species
GAUGAACGCUGGCGGCGUGCCUAAUACAUGCAAGUCGAGCGAACGGACGAGAAGCUUGCUUCUCUGAUGUUAGCGGCGGACGGGUGAGUAACACGUGGAUAACCUACCUAUAAGACUGGGAUAACUUCGGGAAACCGGAGCUAAUACCGGAUGAUAUUUUGAACCGCAUGGUUCAAAAGUGAAAGACGGUCUUGCUGUCACUUAUAGAUGGAUCCGCGCUGCAUUAGCUUGUUGGUAAGGUAACGGCUUACCAAGGCAACGAUGCAUAGCCGACCUGAGAGGGUGAUCGGCCACACUGGAACUGAGACACGGUCCAGACUCCUACGGGAGGCAGCAGUAGGGAAUCUUCCGCAAUGGGCGAAAGCCUGACGGAGCAACGCCGCGUGAGUGAUGAAGGUCUUCGGAUCGUAAAACUCUGUUAUUAGGGAAGAACAUAUGUGUAAGUAACUGUGCACAUCUUGACGGUACCUAAUCAGAAAGCCACGGCUAACUACGUG